rnacentral:rRNA from 1 species
AUUGAACGCUGGCGGCAUGCCUUACACAUGCAAGUCGAGCGGGGUGAUGGUGCUUGCACUAUCACUUAGCGGCGGACGGGUGAGUAAUGCUUAGGAAUCUGCCUAUUAGUGGGGGACAACAUCUCGAAAGGGAUGCUAAUACCGCAUACGUCCUACGGGAGAAAGCAGGGGAUCACUUGUGACCUUGCGCUAAUAGAUGAGCCUAAGUCGGAUUAGCUAGUUGGUGGGGUAAAGGCCUACCAAGGCGACGAUCUGUAGCGGGUCUGAGAGGAUGAUCCGCCACACUGGGGCUGAGACACGGCCCAGACUCCUACGGGAGGCAGCAGUGGGGAAUAUUGGACAAUGGGGGGAACCCUGAUCCAGCCAUGCCGCGUGUGUGAAGAAGGCCUUAUGGUUGUAAAGCACUUUAAGCGAGGAGGAGGCUCUUUUGGUUAAUACCCAAGAUGAGUGGACGUUACUCGCAGAAUAAGCACCGGCUAACUCUGUGCCAGCCGCCGCCGUAA